AGCGAACGCUGGCGGCAGGCCUAACACAUGCAAGUCGAACGAACUCUUCGGAGUUAGUGGCGGACGGGUGAGUAACACGUGGGAACGUGCCUUUUGGUUCGGAAUAACUCAGGGAAACUUGUGCUAAUACCGAAUGUGCCCUUCGGGGGAAAGAUUUAUCGCCAUUAGAGCGGCCCGCGUCUGAUUAGCUAGUUGGUGAGGUAACGGCUCACCAAGGCGACGAUCAGUAGCUGGUCUGAGAGGAUGACCAGCCACACUGGGACUGAGACACGGCCCAGACUCCUACGGGAGGCAGCAGUGGGGAAUCUUGCGCAAUGGGCGAAAGCCUGACGCAGCCAUGCCGCGUGAAUGAUGAAGGUCUUAGGAUUGUAAAAUUCUUCCACCGGGGACGAUAAUGACGGUACCCGGAGAAGAAGCCCCGGCUAACUUCGUG
rnacentral:rRNA from 1 species